GCUGACACAUCCCGGCCAAUCUCCAGCAGACCCUCCCUCCCAGACCCUUCAGCAGACCCUCCCUCCCAGACUCUCCCCUCAGCAUCCAUAUUGAAGGCAGCUUCAACAUGGAUGCUGUCCAGGAGGUGGGAGGGUCUGGGAGGGAGGGUCUGCUGGAGAUUGGCCGGAAUGUGUCAG